rnacentral:lncRNA from 1 species
UUUUUCUGUUUUAAAACAAAAGAAAAGAAAAGGGGGUGCUCUGCUAGGUUUUCCUUAACCCAAACCCCCUCAACCGUCGCAACCACCUCAGCGACUUGAAGCCUCCCUCCGGCUUCGAUUCGGGAAGAGUCCGUCGUCUCCUCCACACAGGUAACUUUCUCCUUUUCUUUUCGUUUAUUUUUUAAAAGAAAAGAAUCAAUAGAAAAAUGAAACAAAAAACAGUAAAAACAAAAAAACAAAAAGAUCACCUUCAAACUUUUGCUUUUCUGAUUCUUUUACUUUCGUGUUUCCUUUUACUUUUCAAUAUAGUAUUUUGCUAACCCCUAUUACAGAAAUCCGUCGGCUUUUUAUAGCCAAAUCCUUUUACAAUUUUGCUGUAUAUUCGGUCCUAUUUGUGCUGUUCGUGGUUUAUUGCAGGUGCAUGAAAGACAGACGUGCGCGGCGUGGAAGGAGAACGUGCGACCUGUUGCGACAUCUGCGCGGAGGCUGUUUGCUACUGCGACAUUGAGGCGAAGGGGCAAGGGUUCUUUGAUUCUGUUAUGGGUUUAUUGGGCUAAUGUAAUUGGGCAACGUAAAUUAUGUUUUUAAAUGGACUGGAGACCUUUAUUUAUUUGGGCCCGGCCUAAAAUUGGGUAUUACAUUAGGGAUUUAUAAAAAAAUAUAUAAAUACACAAAUUAUCAUAUCUCACCAAUGUUACCAAUCGGCAAUAUUGCAUUCGGUGAGUAUUGGUGGUGCUGCUAGCUCAAUUUGUAUUAAGUUUUUUUAAUCAACAUCUAAAACCUAUAUUAAACUAGUAUACAAUGAAGUACCGUACAUAUUGGUCUUUAGAAUAUGUAAAUGUUGAGGGUUUAAUUUUUUAUUAUAUCAAUCAAAAUUAUGUAAAUUGAUGUAAAAUCUUAAUUUUAGUGGUU